rnacentral:rRNA from 1 species
UACAGAGGGGGCAAGCGUUAUUCGGAAUUAUUGGGCGUAAAGGGCGCGUAGGCGGCUUUGCAAGUGACGGGUGAAAUCCCUCGGCUUAACCGAGGAACUGCCUGUCAGACUGUGAGGCUUGAGACCGGGAGAGGUGAGUGGAAUUUCCAGUGUAGCGGUGAAAUGCGUAGAUAUUGGGAGGAACACCAGUGGCGAAGGCG